GACGAACGCUGGCGGCGUGCUUAACACAUGCAAGUCGAACGGAAAGGCCCUGCUUUUGUGGGGUGCUCGAGUGGCGAACGGGUGAGUAACACGUGAGUAACCUGCCCUUGACUUUGGGAUAACUUCAGGAAACUGGGGCUAAUACCGGAUAGGAGCUCCUGCUGCAUGGUGGGGGUUGGAAAGUUUCGGCGGUUGGGGAUGGACUCGCGGGUUAUCAGCUUGUUGGUGGGGUAGUGGCUUACCAAGGCUUUGGUGGGUAGCCGGCCUGGGAGGGUGACCGGCCACAUUGGUACUGGGGUAGGGCCCAGAGUGCUACGGGAGGCAGUGGUGGGGAAUAUUGCACAAUGGGCGGAAGCCUGAUGCAACAACGCCGCGUGCGGGAUGACGGCCUUCGGGUUGUAAACCGCUUUAGCCUGUGACGAAGCGUGAGUGACGGUAAUGGGUAAAGAAGCACCGGCUAACUACGUG
rnacentral:rRNA from 1 species